CAAAGUACGUUUGAACAUGAAGUCAUGUGCACCCAUGUGCAGACAUGCGUUCACGUAUGCACAUGACCCACUGUGCAUAACGGUACAUUGAAGUAAGUUCUUAAUCGCUGAUUCCGCCUUGACUUCAUAUUUGUUUACCUGGAAUUGUUGCUUGUAGCUUGGAAAGUUGACCGUUUUCGCGGGGUCCAAGUGACAAGCAACAACCAAAAAAAGAUCAGUCUCGUUUUAAAUCUCAAACCCGCGCAUCGUAUUCUCUCCCCCUCAAAGUGAAAACCCAAGUGAAGUGAAAAGUAAAAAGUGAACAUACAUACAAACAUAUAUAGCUAGAGUGAACAUUGCAACAAUAAACUUUGAAACAGUGAACUAAUAUAUUUAACAUUUUAGAUACAAAGUGACACAAUAACAACCGACUCAAAAACCAAAUCUACACUCGACCCACAAUUGCAACAUCACAGCAACCAUAAGUGCGGGACACAACAUACAACACCAACUAAUUCUAAUAUUGCAAACCCCCCACCUGUUAAAUACAAUGUCUAUCUACUACAAUCAACUAUACUCAUAAUUUAAAUUUUAAUCUACUUACUACUGCUACUUAAAUCUAUGAAUUGUGCUAUCUAAACCUAAAUAUUUGCUACUUAAACACUACGAUCUACUUAUAACUAAUGAAUUUAAAUAACAUAGAAAAGAACAUCACAAUAAACAAUCACCACCACAUUUGAAUUUUAAACAUAAAACUUCCUAUGUUUUAUUUCGGAAGGCAAAACCCUUAGUUUGACCCCAAACAUUUGGUCCUUCGAACCGGAUAAGUGGUUUUUUUAAAUAAUUAAAAAACCAAAAAUCAAAAAAAAUUUUCUGUUUUCUGCCCAAAAAUAAUUCAUUUUCAUUUCAAAAGACCCAGUGACCGAAACACAAAAAAUUCGCAACAACAAAAGUGCAGUGACCCACCAAUUAAAAGCAAAACUACAAAAAUUGCAAAAGGCGCCAACACACAAUUCUGGACCCAAGCCAAGCGCCCACCUACACACACACACACAUACACACACAUCAAAAAAGAAGCUUCAAAAUAAUGGCCGGAUAUUUACCUCGCCCAGAGUCCCCACGACCCGCCAGACCCACACGCCCUCGCUUCGACCCACGGGAACCCAGGUAUCGCCCCGCAUCUUGGCAGUAUGCCUGUGGCCUCUGCCAGGAGGACCACGCCAUACGGUCAUGCCCGCGGUUCCGGCAAAUGACACCGUAUCAGAGAUACGAGACAGUUGAGAGACGGAGUUACUGUCGGAACUGUCUGGCGCGCAGCCAUCUGGCCCCAGACUGCCCCGUGGUCACUGCCUGCCGAACAUGCGACUACCGCCAUCACACAAUGCUGCAUGGAGCCCCACAGCUUAGGGAGACAUAUGGCAGCUACAGCCCGCCCCCAAUGGAGAUUGCCAACCCACGGCAACUUGCAAUCGAACCAGCCAACCAGAUGCCCAUCGUCCAAGGCCCUCCCCCGGUCGAGAUACCUUACAGCCGGGCCACUGUUUUUGUACCCACGGCGAUGGUGGAAUUGGCACCCGAGGAGCAGGACGAUUGGGCUGGGGUACGGGUACUUUUGUGCCAGGCAUCGACCAUCACCCGAAUCGCGGCAGCCACAGUAACUCGCCUGGGGAUACCAACGAGAGAGCGCAGAGGGCACCGUCUGGCAACAAUAAGACUUCGGUCAAGGCAUGCGUCGAGGAGGACCAUGUAUACCAUCCGGGCAGUGGUGACCCGGGAUUUGCCGCGACGACCCUAUUCAGAUCCCAUCAUUCCCGACCCCACAAGCAGCCUAAGAUCCCUUUCUUUGGCAGAUGCUGACCCUAGAGGCAACGAACCAAUCGAUGUAGAGGUAGGGGCCGAUGCCUCCGCCCACCUCCGG